rnacentral:lncRNA from 1 species
AUCUGAUAGGUGGUAGAUGUCUAAGUCUCCUUUACGGCUCUAACUGAUAGGGGUAGUGGGGUGGUAGAUGUCUAGUCUCCAUUAUGGGCUCUAAUCUGAUAGUGGGGUGGUAGAAAGGCUAGUCUCCUUCGUGGCUCUAAUCUGGUAGUGGGGUGGUAGAUGUCAGUCUCCAUUAUGGCUCUAAUCUGGUAGUGGGGUGGUAGAUGAAUCCAUUAUGUCUCUAAUCUGAUAGUGGGGUGGUAGAUGGCUAGUCUCCUUUGUGGCUCUAAUCUGAUAGUGGUAGUGGGGGGUAGAUGUCUAGUCUCCUUUAUGUCUCUAAUCUGAUAGUGGUAGUGGGGUGGUAGAUGUCUCCUUUAGGGCCUAAUCUAAAAGUGGGUAGAUGUCUAGUCUCCUUUAUGGCUCUAAUCUGAUCGGGGUAGUGGGGUGGUAGAUGACUCCUUUAUGGCUCUAAUCUGAUAGUGGUAGUGGGGGGGGAUGACUCCUUUAUGGCUCUAAUCUGAUAGUGGUAGAGAUGUCUAGUCUCCUUAUAUGGCUCUAAUCUGAUAGUGUAGUGGGUGGGUAGAUGAGCCUUUAUGGCUCUA